GUAAGGUUGGCAAUACUCUACAACUGUAAUUCAAUGUGUAUUGAUGUUACUUGUGUGUUAACAAGCUUUUCUAAUUGCAUUAGUUAUUUUAUGUUUGGUAUGAUUCUGUAAUGAUGUUAGUUACAAUGCUCUACAUAUUGUGUCUGUUAAAAUACUAUAUAAUUGUGGGAUGGUAAUGCAGCUGGGUUGGUCGAGUGCUUCUCGCUAGUGUGCACAAGGCCAUGGGUUUUAGCCUUACCACUGCAAACCAGGUACACACUUGUAACCCUACAACUAAGGAAGUGGAAAAAAGAGAGUUAGAGGCCUAACAUCAUCCUUGGCCAUAAAGCAAGUCUAAGACCUAUGUAAGGAUCUGUCUUUUAAAAAAGAAACAAAACAUAAUGACUUCUGUGUCUGUGAGGAAUUGAUUAUAGGACUUCUAGAUACCCAGAUUUGUAAAUGCUUAAGUCUCCUGUAUAAAAUGUCUGCUUGUGACCAGUGCAUAUCUUCCCUUAUAUUUAUUUAAACUUAAUCUCUACAUUGUUUUAAUGUGUAGUACAGUGAGAUGUUAACAUGGAUAGUUGUAUUCAAGUUAUUCUGGUAAUGACAAGAAAAAACUGUACAAUUCAGUACAAAUGCAGUUUUUGUCUAAGAAAUAGUUUUUUUGGUUUGGUCUUUUGAGCCUGGGUCUCACCAUGUAGACCAGGCUGCCAUGAAACUCACUGAGUCCCUCUUGCCUCUGCUCCCAAAUUCUUUAAUUAAAACUGUAGCCCCAAUGCCUGGCCACCCACAUGUUUUGAAUGUGUGGUUGGCUGGAUCCACAGAUGGACCACUGACUAAUAAUAUAACAAGUAUUUUUAAGUCUUGAAUACCUUUCCAGAGUUUCUAAAGAACUACAUUGGUAGAAUAUAUACCUAGUACAACCGAGUCUUGAGUUCUCUUUCCAGCAUUUCCAUAUAAAAGUGUUUUUGAAAGAGUUUAGCAAGUACCAAAUUCUACAUGAAUUUAAACUCAUAAUAUUACUUAUAAUAGAAAAAUAUUUUUCUCUUGAUUUGAAGUUUUCUUUAGAUACAGAUAAAGUUUGAAAUGCUACAGAUUAUAACAUACUCUUUAGUAUAAUGUGUCUGAAUAUUUCAUUUUAAAUGAAGGAGAAAAACAUUAAAAUGUGUACAUUGAAUUUUUAAAACUUUAAAUUUAGAAGAAUCCUUAGAAUAGCUGACCUUUUUAUUGGUUAACUGAGGAAACAAUCUGAAAUUUAAUUUGCAACCUAUGACAUAUUAGGGUAUAAAUCCUAUAUCUUCUAACUUAAUAAUUACUGUUUUUCUUAUUUUUUACAAAAAUGUUUAACAGGAGAUUUUUAACUAGUCAAAAGUAUGAAAGACAUCUGUGCCUUAAUAUUUGACUUCAGAUUAAAGCUAACAUAGUUAUUAAUUUUAAAAAUAUAUUCAGAAUAUUUUAAUUAUUUCAAAGGAAAUGUUCUUUUAAUUAUCCCAUGUGCCUUAUUUGAAAUGUUUUAAGUCAUUAUUUUAAAAUGUUCAAGAAAACACAUUAUCUCACAAUAAUGUCCUCUAACUCUGUCAUUACUUCUUACAAGGAGCCUCUUACCUUUUCAGAUUAAAGGUUCACAAUGAAUUCUACCCAUUAUCGUGUGUUGUGGAAAUCCUAAAAGUAUUUCAGUUACUUUUUAAGGAAUUGUUUUCAAAAGAACCACUAGUCAGUUCUAAUUUAAAGGUAAAAUUGAGUAAGUUUUAACUAAUUGAUUUAAUUAACUAUAGACUCCGUUUUUGGAGCAUUUUUUUAUGUAUAUGAGUACACUGUUGCUUUAUUGAUGGUUCUGAGCCUUCCUGUGGUUGGUUGCUGGGAAUUUUGAAUUCAGGACCCCUGCUCGCUCCAGUUGGCCUGCUCGCUCCAGCUCUGUAAUUGUCUUCAGACGCACCAGAAGAGGGCAUCAGAUCUCAUUAUGGAUGUUUGUGAGCCACCAUGUGGUUGCUGGGACUUGAACUCAGGACCUUUGGUAAGCAUUUGUUACAUGAGCAUGGUGUCUCUUCACAGCAAUAGAAAACUCCUUAAGAUUACUUUAAUUGUACAUAACUUUUUCCCCUACUUUUCAUAGGGAAGAAAUAGCCUGUAUAUAUUAAAAUAUACAUUUAAGUGUAAAUUUUAAAUAUAUUUUCACUGACUUGGAAAUCUAGAGUUCGUUUCUAUCUUUGUGACUAUUUUUGAAUCAUAAAUAGCAAAAUUAAAGUUACACACAUUUACAUUAAUAACUAGUUAUCUUUCAAAGAAAUAAUUAGACUUGGAUGUUCUUUUGUGAUCUUGAGUUUUACACAUACAAUUUUACAAGUUUAACAUUCUAAUUAAAAUGGGUUUGUUUUGUUUUUUUCCUUUUGCAAAGGAAUAUUACUAUCCUUGUAUGAAAUAUUUUUUUCAGUGUUGCUUCUCAUUAAAUACCAUCCAGAAAGAAAAGAAAAUGUCCUUAAUUGUUUUAAAUAGAUUUGGCUCCAGCACGUAUUUAUACAUACUACUUACAUAUCUUGGAGAAGAAACGAAAGACCGUUAAUGCGUUCCAUCUUCCAAGGAGUUAAGGGAUAGCUUAGAAUGAGUUUAUUUCUAAUACCUGGAACCUUUUACUGCAUAGCUUAUUCAUCCACCAGAAACUGAAGGGAUCAUGUUCUUAGCUUGUAUGUUUAUGAAAUAUGUCCUAGGCACAGCAGUUUUCAAUUCCUCUGUUCUUUCACUGUUUGUUGUUUUGUUUUGCUUUGUUUUUUUUUUUUUUCAGUGUGUAGUGAUUAAGCCCAGGACCUCAGAGGGCUCUUCUACUAAACUACAUACCAGUUCCAAAAACAAAAAACAUUGACGCUACUUUUGUGCUGAAUAUUCCUCAGCCUUAGCUUACUAAUGCUUAUGCCCAAUGGAUCUUUCUUCGUGAAGCACCCUCCCCUCCCCCCCAUUUAUCUUUGGUGAUUCUAAUAAAUAAUACCUUUGGAAAAUGAUAGCUUGCAUGUUUCUUCACUGUGUAUUACAAUAUUUAGGACUGCUGAUAUAUAAACUUUCCAUGUGUGAUAUUUAAAAUACCAUUUUAGUGUGAAUCAAUGAAAUCUAGUAUUGCACUGAAAUAAAAAGAAAAUUUAAAUCAUUUCUUUAAAGAAAUUGUGAGUUUUAAUAGAGAUUUUAUAUCAAUUUUUAUAUUUUCUUUUCUAGUGGUAUUAAAAUGUUAAAUGUUUGUCAGAUAGCAUUAGAAAUAUACUUGAAGUGAGAUAUGGUACCCACAUGUAAACCCAGCACUGUUUAAUUAAACCAAAAAGUACAAAAACAGCCAGGCAUGGUGACACACACCUUUAAUUGAAAUUGAAGCACUCAAGGCAGAGGUAAGUGGAUUUCUGUGAGUUCAAUGUCAGCCUGGGCAGCAUAUUUGAGAGUUGUAGUAUUUACAUAGUGAGAGAUAAAAAUUUAUUCUAGUUCACUGCUGAAGAUCAUACCAAUACCAAACAGAUUAAGUCCCUGGCAUUCAUGGAGUUUCCAGUACUGAUAGGUAGUCGAUGAAUACAAGGAUGAAGAAAAAUAUUACAGUUUUAUGUUCUGUGGGAAAAUUAAGGAAGCA
ensembl:processed_transcript Dleu2 deleted in lymphocytic leukemia, 2